AUAAAAGGAGGGUAGUUGGCCAUCCAAUACGUUUCUAGUUUUCCAGCCACUUAAGAAAUGACAAGAUUCGAAACAUGGACUUGAAUCCACUUCCACGUCAAACUAAUUACUAGACAUACAAUAAUUAACCGUCAAGCUUUUCUAACAAAAUAUAACUUUAUUGUUUAUUUUUUAAAUAACCUAGACCAUAUAAUGUCAGAUCGAGACCAAGCAUAAAGAUAUAUGUUUUCGAAAACCAAAACCUUGAACCAACUUAAAACCUCUAAGGUUGAGCAAGGUAAAGACCCUAACCAUCCAAUCCACAUGAGAACUCUAUAUCAAAUGACUGAGGCCACCUAACACAAAAUAAAGAGAUAAUCAGCUGACACCAUCUGCUCACCGCAUACUGAACACCCCCCAAACUAGACUCCAACAAAAUUUAACGCCUUAGAAGGUUUUGCCUAAUUGGAAAUCUAUCCUAAAGCAACUGCCAAGAGAACACAACAACAUUAGAAUGUGCCAAACUCAUCCAAAUCUUAGAGAACCCCUUCAGAACCUUCUCUGACCUACAUUUCCUGACCAUUAACGAAACCACCAAAGUGUUGUAGGCAGAACUGACCGAAAAACCCUACCUAGAUAUGGUUUCCAGAUCCAUAAAUCUUCCUAGCCAUGCCUAGAAUUACGGGAAAUUAGGUCUACCAACGUCGCUAGGAUCCCUUCCUCCCACACUGGGAAAGUUCGUCUCCACAUAAAGUUUCAAACUCAGACAUCUUAAUUCCAAAAACCCUUAAAACUCACCAUCAAAUAAGAAAUAAUCUCUCGAAAGAGACACAAAAAGGGGGUAGGACAUACCCAGACAUCGUGCAAAACCUAGUCUUCAGCCUAUCCCUAACCCUUUUCACACAAGUAAAACCCUUAAAACUCACCAUCAAAUAAGAAAUAAUCUCUCGAAAGAGACACAAAAAGGGGGUAGGACAUACCCAGACAUCGUGCAAAACCUAGUCUUCAGCCUAUCCCUAACCCUUUUCACACAAGA
rnacentral:lncRNA from 1 species